UACAGAGGGUGCGAGCGUUAAUCGGAAUUACUGGGCGUAAAGCGCACGUAAGUGGCGACGUAAGUCGGGUGUGAAAGCCCCGGGCUCAACCUGGGAAUUGCAUUCGAGACUGCAUUGCUGGAGUACGGAAGAGGAGGGCGGAAUUCCCGGUGUAGCGGUGAAAUGCGUAGAUAUCAGGAGGAACACCGGUGGCGAAGGCGGGUCUCUGGGCAACAACUGACGCUGAGGAGCGAAAGCGUGGGGAGCGAACAGG
rnacentral:rRNA from 1 species